rnacentral:rRNA from 1 species
UGAACAUUGCAAAGAGUGGCGAACGGGUGAGUAACACGUGGGUAACCUACCUCUUAGCAGGGGAUAACAUUUGGAAACAAGUGCUAAUACCGUAUAAUACCAACAACCGCAUGGUUGUUGGUUGAAAGAUGGUUCUGCUAUCACUAAGAGAUGGACCCGCGGUGCAUUAGCUAGUUGGUAAGGUAAUGGCUUACCAAGGCAAUGAUGCAUAGCCGAGUUGAGAGACUGAUCGGCCACAAUGGGACUGAGACACGGCCCAUACUCC